CACAUGCAGUCGAGGGGCAGCAUGGUCUUAGCUUGCUAAGGCCGAUGGCGACCGGCGCACGGGUGAGUAACACGUAUCCAACCUGCCGUCUACUCUUGGACAGCCUUCUGAAAGGAAGAUUAAUACAAGAUGGCAUCAUGAGUCUGCAUGUUCACAUGAUUAAAGGUAUUCCGGUAGACGAUGGGGAUGCGUUCCAUUAGAUAGUAGGCGGGGUAACGGCCCACCUAGUCUUCGAUGGAUAGGGGUUCUGAGAGGAAGGUCCCCCACAUUGGAACUGAGACACGGUCCAAACUCCUACGGGAGGCAGCAGUGAGGAAUAUUGGUCAAUGGGCGAGAGCCUGAACCAGCCAAGUAGCGUGAAGGAUGACUGCCCUAUGGGUUGUAAACUUCUUUUAUAAAGGAAUAAAGUCGGGUAUGCAUACCCGUUUGCAUGUACUUUAUGAAUAAGGAUCGGCUAACUCCGUGCCAGCAGCCGCGGUAAUACGGAGGAUCCGAGCGUUAUCCGGAUUUAUUGGGUUUAAAGGGAGCGUAGAUGGAUGUUUAAGUCAGUUGUGAAAGUUUGCGGCUCAACCGUAAAAUUGCAGUUGAUACUGGAUAUCUUGAGUGCAGUUGAGGCAGGCGGAAUUCGUGGUGUAGCGGUGAAAUGCUUAGAUAUCACGAAGAACUCCGAUUGCGAAGGCAGCCUGCUAAGCUGCAACUGACAUUGAGGCUCGAAAGUGUGGGUAUCAAACAGGAUUAGAUACCCUGGUAGUCCACACGGUAAACGAUGAAUACUCGCUGUUUGCGAUAUACGGCAAGCGGCCAAGCGAAAGCGUUAAGUAUUCCACCUGGGGAGUACGCCGGCAACGGUGAAACUCAAAGGAAUUGACGGG
rnacentral:rRNA from 1 species